rnacentral:rRNA from 1 species
UACGGGGGGGGCAAGCGUUGUUCGGAAUUACUGGGCGUAAAGGGCUCGUAGGUGGCCAACUAAGUCAGACGUGAAAUCCCUCGGCUUAACCGGGGAACUGCGUCUGAUACUGGAUGGCUUGAGUGUGGGAGAGGGAUGCGGAAAUCCAGGUGUAGCGGUGAAAUGCGUAGAUAUCUGGAGGAACACCGGUGGCGAAGGCGGCAUCCUGGACCAUUACUGACACUGAAAAGCGAAAGCCAGGGGAGCAAACGGG